GCCGAAAUAGCUCAGUUGUGGGAGUGUUAGACUAGAGAUCGAAAGGUCCCUGGUUCGAUUUCGGGAUUCGGCA
rnacentral:tRNA from 1 species